rnacentral:tRNA from 1 species
GGAUAAGUAGCUAAGUGGUAUAGCAGCGAACUGCAGUCCGGUAGGUCAUGCGUUCAAUUCGCGCCUCGUCCU